rnacentral:rRNA from 1 species
UACGUAGGUGGCAAGCGUUGUCCGGAUUUACUGGGUGUAAAGGGCGUGUAGCCGGGCUGACAAGUCAGAUGUGAAAUCCGGGGGCUCAACCCCCGAACUGCAUUUGAAACUGUUGGUCUUGAGUAUCGGAGAGGCAGGCGGAAUUCCUAGUGUAGCGGUGAAAUGCGUAGAUAUUAGGAGGAACACCAGUGGCGAAGGCGGCCUGCUGGACGACAACUGACGGUGAGGUGCGAAAGCGUGGGGAGCAAACAGG